rnacentral:sRNA from 1 species
AAAUAGCCCUGAUUGAAGUGGAAAUCAUUUUUAUUUUUUUUCUUUAAAAAAAUAAAAAUAUUGCAGCGAAAAGCAGGAAAUAGC